GUAGGUGGCAAGCGUUGUCCGGAAUUAUUGGGCGUAAAGCGCGCGCAGGUGGUUCUUUAAGUCUGAUGUGAAAGCCCCCGGGCUCAACCGGGGAGGGUCAUUGGAAACUGGGGAACUUGAGUGCAGGAGAGGAAAGUGGAAUUCCACGUGUAGCGGUGAAAUGCGUAGAUAUGUGGAGGAACACCAGUGGCGAAGGCGACUCUCUGGCCUGUAACUGACACUGAGGCGCGAAAGCGUGGGGAGCAAACAGGAUUAGAUACCCUGGUAGUCCACGCCGUAAACGAUGAGUGCUAAGUGUUGGGGGGUUUCCGCCCCUCAGUGCUGCAGCUAACGCAUUAAGCACUCCGCCUGGGGAGUACGGUCGCAAGACUG
rnacentral:rRNA from 1 species